rnacentral:rRNA from 1 species
UACGUAGGGGGCUAGCGUUGUCCGGAUUUAUUGGGCGUAAAGAGCGUGUAGGCGGCCUGACAGGUCUGCUGUGAAAACUCGAGGCUCAACCUCGAGAUGUCGGCGGAAACCGUCUGGCUAGAGUCCGGAAGAGGAGAGUGGAAUUCCUGGUGUAGCGGUGAAAUGCGUAGAUAUUGGGAGGAACACCAGUGGCGAAGGCGGCUCACUGGACCGGUACUGACGCUGAUGCGCGAAAGCGUGGGGAGCAAACAGG